rnacentral:tRNA from 3 species
GGUGGAAUAUCCAAGUGGCCAAAGGAUGGGGACUGUAAAUCCUCCCGCUCACGCGUUCGCUGGUUCGACUCCGGCUUCCACCACCA